GGGUUGUGAGGUUAAGCGACUAAGCGUACACGGUGGAUGCCCUGGCAGUCAGAGGCGAUGAAGGGCGUGCUAAUCUGCGAUAAGCGCCGGUAAGGUGAUAUGAACCGUUAUAACCGGCGAUACCCGAAUGGGGAAACCCAGUGUGACUCGUCACACUAUCAUUAACUGAAUCCAUAGGUUAAUGAGGCGAACCGGGGGAACUGAAACAUCUAAGUACCCCGAGGAAAAGAAAUCAACCGAGAUUCCCCCAGUAGCGGCGAGCGAACGGGGAGGAGCCCAGAGCCUGAAUCAGCAUGUGUGUUAGUGGAAGCGUCUGGAAAGGCGCGCGAUACAGGGUGACAGCCCCGUACACAAAAGCGCAUGUGCUGUGAGCUCGAUGAGUAGGGCGGGACACGUGGUAUCCUGUCUGAAUAUGGGGGGACCAUCCUCCAAGGCUAAAUACUCCUGACUGACCGAUAGUGAACCAGUACCGUGAGGGAAAGGCGAAAAGAACCCCGGCGAGGGGAGUGAAAAAGAACCUGAAACCGUGUACGUACAAGCAGUGGGAGCACCCUUUGGGUGUGACUGCGUACCUUUUGUAUAAUGGGUCAGCGACUUAUAUUCUGUAGCAAGGUUAACCGAAUAGGGGAGCCGGAGGGAAACCGAGUCUUAACCGGGCGUUAAGUUGCAGGGUAUAGACCCGAAACCCGGUGAUCUAGCCAUGGGCAGGUUGA
rnacentral:rRNA from 1 species